rnacentral:rRNA from 1 species
UACGGAGGGUGCGAGCGUUGUCCGGAAUCACUGGGCGUAAAGCGCGUGUAGGCGGCUGCGCAAGUCGGAUGUGAAAUCCCAUGGCUCAACCAUGGAAGUGCACCCGAAACUGCGCAGCUAGAGUCUCGGAGAGGAAGGUGGAAUGCUUGGUGUAGAGGUGAAAUUCGUAGAGAUCCGGAGGAACACCAGUGGCGAAGGCGACACACUGGGCCGUACCUGACACUAAGACGCGACAGCAUGGGGAGCGAACGGG